GAUGAACGCUGGCGGCGUGCCUAAUACAUGCAAGUCGAGCGAACAGAUAAGGAGCUUGCUCCUUUGACGUUAGCGGCGGACGGGUGAGUAACACGUGGAUAACCUACCUAUAAGACUGGGAUAACUUCGGGAAACCGGAGCUAAUACCGGAUAACAUAUUGAACCGCAUGGUUCAAUAGUGAAAGGCGGCUUUGCUGUCACUUAUAGAUGGAUCCGCGCCGUAUUAGCUAGUUGGUAAGGUAACGGCUUACCAAGGCAACGAUACGUAGCCGACCUGAGAGGGUGAUCGGCAACACUGGAACUGAGACACGGUCCAGACUCCUACGGGAGGCAGCAGUAGGGAAUCUUCCGCAAUGGGCGAAAGCCUGACGGAGCAACGCCGCGUGAGUGAUGAAGGUCUUCGGAUCGUAAAACUCUGUUAUCAGGGAAGAACAAAUGUGUAAGUAACUGUGCACAUCUUGACGGUACCUGAUCAGAAAGCCACGGCUAACUACGUG
rnacentral:rRNA from 1 species